UUGGCAUACAAACAAAAAUAUUGGUGGAGAAAACAAACAGUCAAGUAGAGGUCCGUUGUAUUUUUUAUUUUCGAUUUAAUUCCUACUAUCAUGUCGCUGAUCCAAAAGCCUCCAAUUACUGGAAAUAAGAUUCGGAAUAACAGAACUAGCCAGCUGAUUCAUAAUGGAUUUACUUGCAAAGUUACACGAGCUCUUACUGCUGGGACAUAAUCCGGAAAAAGGCAAGUAAAAUUAUUCCUUUUCAUAAACCCAAGGGUAAAUGAACAAUGGAACUGCUUGUAAUCCGCCAGAACCGUAAAGCUUUCUUUCAGUCACCGUAGUUCACGAAUCUUCUUGGAUUACUAAGUGAGCAUUGUCAUCGGUCAUCACUUGCAGCAAAUACAAUUAGAAGAAACGAGCUGCAUUUAAACUGUUCGGAACCUGAAGAUAACUAUUGUCCUUACAAUACCUACACUUGAAAAUUUGGGCCUCAGAACAUGAAAAGAACUUUCCUAAAAAUGGCAUGUUGCAGAAACAAAAAAAUCAAUCAAUACUUGUCGUCAAUUGGGAGCGAUUAAAAAGAUAUUUUAAAAAGUGCGUGCCUAAAUUGGCCGGUUCGAUGAACAGAAAGAUGACCGGAUCUAUGGAGUAAUUUGGCACCGGAAGCAGGUUAACGGACGAUAAUUGAUUUCCUUAAGGUAAACUUUUUCUUGUGCGAUUGUGAAUCGUCGCCUCAAUAGCUGUAUACCAUGAAAGAAGUGAAAAUUUAUUUUUUAAAAGAAGCACUUUUUUCAAUGUUUUUUUUAAAUAAAAAAAAAAACAUUAUUACUUAGUUAAUUAAAAAAAAACAAAUUAAACUCAAACUGAUUGAUACAGAUACUUUUAAAUGAGGUGAGCAAUAGUUACAACAUCUCGCGUGAGCUUAUAUUACGUCGUAUGAAACUGUAAAACUGCUUUAAAAGUUAUCAAAACAACUUUGUAUUUCAUAUAUGGCAUAUGCUAUCCAGGCAUAAAAUACACACUUCAUUAACCCAAUCAAUGUUAUGUACUAAAAUCUAGGGUUUAGAAAAAAAAAACCUCAUAAGCGAAGUCAUCAUAAAUAAAGAAAAAAUUAGGUUAAG